rnacentral:rRNA from 1 species
AUUGAACGCUGGCGGCAGGCCUAACACCUGCAAGUCGAACGAGCGGCGGACGGGUGAGUAAUGUCUGGGAAACUGCCUGAUGGAGGGGGAUAAAUACUGGAAACCGUAGCUAAUACCGCAUACCAUCAGAUGUGCCCAGCUGGGAUUAGCUAGUUGGUGGGGUAAUGGCUCACCAAGGCGACGAUCCCUAGCUGGUCUGAGAGGAUGACCAGCCACACGGGAACUUGGACACGGUCCAGACUCCUACGGGAGGCAGCAGUGGGGAAUAUUGCACAAUGGGCGCAAGCCGGAUGCAGCCAUGCCGCGUGUAUGAAGAAGGCCUUCGGGUUGUAAAGUACUUUCAGCGGGGAGGCGUUACCCGCAGAAGAAGCACCGGCUAACGCCGUGCCAGCAGCCGCGGUAAUUC